UUACUUUUAUUCAUAUUAUGAUACUUCUUAUUUACAUCCAUACUAUUACAACUUAAAUUUAAAUAUCUUUACUAAAACUUUUAGAAGAAAUAAAAUAAAAAUUAAAAAUAGAAAUGGGGAAAUAAGGAUGGGAAUUUCACCAAAUCUUCAUUCAUCCCUUCCCUGAAUAAGAUGUUGGAUAUAAAAUUAUUUCUAUCCCAUCUCCAAAUAAGAAAUUAGAUAUAAAAUUGUCUCUGUACCAGCAACCUCAUCGUAUCCAAAGCAACAAGAUCCCUCCAACCCCUCAUCAACAUAACAGUGCAUAAAUGCUCUAUAAAGUAUAGUUAAAACUCUAAAUUUUCCCUUAAUUUAAAGAAUCUAAUUUAUCUUCACAAAAUUACAUAAUCAAACUUAAUCUACAAAUAACUCUAAAACCUGAUUCAUAAACAUCCAAUCACUCAAAACAUUAAAUUUGAUUUCAUAAACACUCAAUCAAACCCAAUUUACACUGUCAUAGCCACUAUAGCUGCUAAUCUUCGUUGUUGUUGCGGCUUUCACCAACCUCAUGGUUAGUUGAACCACCACAAGACUCCUCCAUGGCUAUCUUCAUGGCUCUAUGCAUGUUUUUAUCCAUUACCCCAGAUAAUUGAAGGAUUUGAUACAAAUUCUGUGUUGAUUUUAUGAACCCUACAAGUUUAGAGAGAGGGAAGAUACGAAAGAAGAUAGUGGGAUGUAUUUUUAUUUAAUUUUGGUUUCAAUGGCUAUGAAGUAUGAUACAAAUUGUGGUUAGGGCCAAAACCGUUAGUGGAUUUUGUUUUGAAGUAAAGAUUUUAAUGGGUUUAUUGAGUUUUGAUUUUUUAAAAUUUUAUUUUAUUAUUUACAAUAAUGUUAGAAUUUCAACAUUUUCUAAUGCUAUAUUUUACUCAUUUAUUCAAUGAUAGAUUUUAUAUAUUGUAAAAUUACUUAAUCACCAUAUAAUGAAGGAAUGCCACAUACGUUGGAAUUCAAAUUAGAACUUAGAUGUUGGAAUGCUUAUCAUUGCUUUUAUUAUUCAUAGUGCAAAGUCAAAAAUGUCCUUUGAAUUUAAAGCUAAAAUGAUCUACUUAAAUUAUGUUAAAUAUUCUAACAAUAUUAAAAUUUUAGUGAAUGAUUAAUACAAAUUACAAACUUAGAGAAAAUUUAAACAAAUUCAAAUUUUUAUACUAACUUUGAUAAAAAUAAAACUUGGGGUGCAUGCGUGAUAAUUUUUUUCAUUUUUUUAAUAUUAUGGGCCAGUUUUGUGAUGAUUUCAAUGAGAAGCUUCGAUGGCAUUAUGCCUUAUGGCAUGACAUGCAUUUAAUAUGUUAAAAUUAUUCUUUUAUUUUAAAAAUUGUAAAUUAUUGUUGAUUUAUCGUGUUUGAUGGCCCACAUACAAGUCACAAUAUUCAAAAUGACGCGCCAACCAAAUUAUUGGAAGGUGCCAUAAUAUUUUAAAUGUCCCUCAUUUUUUAAUAGAGUAAUUUUCCGUCCGCCCAAUAAAACCACACCGCGCGGACCCUACAAACUAACAAUGUGUUGCCUGUCACAUCUAAAUAUGUCAAUUUGAAAGGGUAAGUUCGAAGGUUUGAGUCAUUAAAUUAAUUUUUUUUUAAAUUCUCCUUCAUUUAUUUUGUUUUUAUUUUAUUUUUACCCUCUUACAACAACAGAAUCAGACCCAUUAAUGAUACUGUUACUGAAGUUACGUUAAAUGUAACUUAGACCCCUUUUUAUUUUUUUUUCCCUCUUCGUUUCUUCUUUUUUUUCUUCUUCAUAUUUGAUUGAAGAACAUUAAUUAUCAUGACAUAGCUCACACAUAUCGACAGAUUCCCACUGCGUGAUUUUUAUGCAUCAACUACUUUACACGCUCAAAGCUUCUAAUGCCACCACUCAUGAUUACCGCUGCUCAUAAAUUUCUUUUGGGUUUAGUAUUAUAGAAUAGGAUUCGAUUCAUUAUUUAAGUUUAUUUAAAAUUAUUAUUCAGGAGUUUGAAACCCUAAACAAAGUAAUCGAAAUCAACUGUGUCAACUUAUGAUUAUUAUAGCAUCCACUAGACGAAUAUCAUAAUAAAUACAUGAAACUAUAAUAGAAAAAAUAAUACAAAUAGCAAUAUAUUAUUACACAAAUCUUAAAAAUUAUUCUAAAAGAUUUGACACGAAGUGAUUGGUUACAAAACUUUUGAGAUACAAAUUAUGCAUCUCAGCUAUAUAUUUAACAUAACAUUAAUGGAAAUGUGUUAAUUUAGGGUUUGCUCGACUCAAACUCAGUGUAGCAUCGUCAUUAUCUUUAACAAAAGCGGCUAAUAAUUCAUCAAUAUAGAUUAAUUUGUCAUUAGGUGUAUAUGCAUUACGAAAAAUGAUAUUUAUACAAAAGAGUGAUAAAAUAAGCUCUAAAACUACGUAAUUUUGGUUGUUAAAAAGAUUUUAAAAACAAUAAAAUAACGUAAUUUUGGUGAUUUUUAUUACCUUUUUAUCACCGUUUUAUACAAAAAUCAUUGCUCCACGCCUCUACAAAUUGAUUAGUGGCCUUGGACUGCAGCUCUGUACUUUCACAUCCACUAACUUCUGGUUGCACAAUUCGGCUUGGCUCCUUUGCUUUUUGCCCACAAAAAUGAGUAGAACCCAACAACUAUUAUGACAGAGCCCAGCACGCUGAUUAUAAAACUUUUGAUUAGGAAAAACAAAGAAAAAUAAAAUGUUAUGUUACAAACGGACGUUCCAAUUCUGAUUUCUUGACCGAGUAUUAAAAGCGUCCAAUAUGGCCACGAUAAUUAGGGUCGGCAAAUAACCCCCAAUCUAGGAUUGGAUUGGAGCCAAAUGAAGUCUCCAAUUAGGUUGGGUGGGAUUUGGCUAACCCAAUCCGAUUGUGAUUAGAUCAGGUUAAACUCAAAACAAAUAGAAAAUUUGACUAGGUUGACACUAAAUUAAAAAAAAAAAUUGUUUUAGAUAUAAUCUUAGGAGUGGACAAAUAAUCAACCUGACUCGAUCGAUUGACCUGAUUCGAUCCAAUAGUAGUAGUUUAUUUUAUUUUUAUUUAUUUAAUUUCAUAAUAGUAAUUUUCCUUUUUUGUGAAAAUUGGUAAAAAAAUGAUUAAAAUGAGAUAAUUACAUAAAAAUAACAUGCUACUAACUAAAAUAAUUUGAAAAGAAAACUCAAAAUGAACAAAAAAGACUCGAAAUUACUGCCAAUCUAAAUAUUAUUGGAUUCCAUCCUAAUUGACUCAAAUAUGAUUUUAACCUGAACUCAACUCCUAUGUAAUCAUAAUCCAAUCUAAUUCAAACUCAACCUGAAUUUUUUUUAUCAAAUUUGAAUUAAAUUUGGACUACCUUUUUCCCUAUAUGAUCAACCCGAAGUCUAAUCAGGUUGAUCUGAACCCAAUUUGAAACUGAAUUUGCUUACCCAUACCCACGAAUACGAGAGACAAUAGGGUUUAGAAUUGAAGGAUAUAUUGGCCAUCGCUUUGCAAUCACCCAUGAUAGUAAGCAAAAUUUUGCUACCGUUACAACUCCCUGCACAAGUUACUAAAAAAUGUUAAAGAGACAUAAUGUUGAUACAAAUAACCAGGCCAAACAUAGUAAGCUACAUUCAACCAAAACUUUUUUUAUGUCGUUACCAUCAACACCAAUUCUAUUAUGACACAAUCCAUAAUUUCAAUUCUAUUAUGACACAGUCCAUAAUUUUACACUCACAAAUAUUAAAGCGAUAUUUAUUCUACCCACAAAUUAGUGGGAGAGAUGCCUACCUCGAUAUUGUUUGUAAUUAGGAGAGGAAAUGAGAAUCCUUAUAGAGUUUUGAACCGUAGCUCUCAGUUAAAGGGCGAGUGGCAAAGCUAGAGCCAUUAAAACUUAACUUUUACAAAUGGUUUUUGAUAACAAGGCUUAUUGAGUGAAAUAUGGUAACAAGUUGCAAAUCCCACCUUAAUCUCCAAAUAGACUUCUGUAUAUCUAAGCAUAAUCCUAAUAUCAUUGGUUGAAUGGAUCCAAUUAUGCAUGUUCGCAUUGUUACCCAAUAUUUGAAUGGAAAUAUUUUCAACAAUUUCACCUGCGCAUAAUUCAUAUACAUAUAUAAUCAGUUCACAAUGCACUCACUAGUCAAUACUCAAGGUGCCAAGUACCAAUUAGAUUGUUUAGUAUUAAAGUGUUGUAUCAUUUAAUUUAUAGUUGCUGAAAAAAAAUUGUAAUU
rnacentral:lncRNA from 1 species